ACUUAGAAGACAGUCUCAAUGUCCUGCAUGCCUCUGAGCAAACCAAUCCUCCUGCCUCAGCCUUCUAAGUACUGAGAUUACAGGGAUCAGCCACCACCCCUGGCUUGUAAGGCCAUCUUUAUUCCACCAAGGACACUAUGCCCUUCCUUGUCGGAUUUUUCUCCUGAGACUCUGAAGGGUGACUCCACCCCUUGUCCUACCCACUCAGAGACUCCAUCCUAGGAAGAGCCAGGCCAGAGCUGCCCGGACUAACAAAUUGACCAACCACGCACCUCUCUUUUUAUUCCAGUCUAAAAAUAAGAUCUGACCCCUCUACAGGUCAUACAUUUGCUGCUGAAGCCUUCCUGUGGGCUGGGGAGUUCGAGCUGAGGCCAUGAAGUUUGCAUAUCCUUCCUGAGAACUGUUCAGAGCACAGUGCAGUAUGGGCAAAUGGUCAAGUCCCGACGGCCCACCCCUGAACACACCCAUCUUUGGACACACCCUGAAGGCUUAUGCCCAGGGCUCCUGUGAACAACUAAGGAACUGCCAAAUCUGUUCCAAGAUGCUGAACCGUUUCACCUUCCCACCAGCGUUGCCUAAGAACACAUUCAGGAGCUGGAGAGAUGACUGGGUAGUUGAAGAGCACUGACUGCUCUUCCAGAGGUCCUGAGUUCAAAUCCCAGCAACCACAUGGUGGCUCACAACCAUCUGUAAUGGGAUCCGAAGCCCUCUUCUUGUGUGUCUGAAAAUG
rnacentral:lncRNA from 1 species